UCGAUUGAAACACUUUUCAGUUCAACGUCUUUUUCAAAGAUGACGUUACGUAUACAAAUAAUUUUAACAUGUGAUCAACAACUCACAGGUGUGUUCUCUUAGUUGCAAGUGAAAUUUAAUACAUAUGUUGGAUGAUCGAGCUGUUUUUUAACUUUGAACGUAUGUUGACAUUUGUUUCAAACGCCCCGCCUAGUCGGGACGUUUGAAACACGCAUGCGGGACGAAUGAAACAGCAUAUUUUAAAAAUAAUCUAUUGCCCUUACUCUUGUUUUUAUGCAACAUACCAGACAACAUACUAGUGUACUCUUCAUUGCUAAAAUUUCACAUAAUUCCGCAUAAUAUAAAUAGGUCAAAAUAUAUUUUUGGCCCGUGCGUAAUUGUCAAGAUGCACAUUUCGAUUAAAACUCACCUUUCUUCUUUUGGACGACUAAAUUUGCAUUCAAUUUACUUAUUUCCCUGUCCUAAGUCAUGUUUAAGGAUACACAGUUGAACAUCCUUUUAUUUAUUUUAAACAAAAACGACCAGGUCAACAGGAUAUCACGAGACCUGUUACAGCGGAAAUUUAUCCAAGCGCCGCACGGGGUUAAUUUCUUUUCAACACGCACAGCCCGGCGCACAGAAGCAUCCGGAGUCUCUGUGGACAGGUGACACAGGUAGUGUGUACUCCCGUCGGUGCAAGCCUCAUGCGAUCACACUGGACCCAAGGUGGGGGUGACUCCAUCAGCGGGCCAGGUGAUGGUGGGAGGAGCAGCUGAGGUGGCACCAGGGGUGACUCCAGCAAGGGGGGCGGCAUCAGGAGCGGGCGAGAAGAGCCUCUUCUUGGGAGCCCGAGAGGAGGGAGGCUGCUUGGCGGGAUGACGCUGCUUCAGAGUUCGGGUCGCCCGGCCUUAGGGUAAGACCGGACGAUGUCCAGGCAGAAUUCGAGGGCAUCUUCCUCAGGCCAGACAGCUUCGUCAGGCCCGGCAACUCGUCCAGUGGCACCUGGAGAAGCGCUGACCUCGUCACCUGAAGCCUUGGGAGGAGGACGGUCUGUGGAAUGGGAUCCGGUGAAGUCAUUUCCCUCAAACGCGGAGGGUUUAAAAGGCCAGAUCCCUGAACUUGAGAACCCGGAGGUGAUGUUCUUCACUGUUGCAGCCUCUGGUGGGACGGGUGAUUGUCCAGCAGGCGGAGCAGCUUCGACUCCUCGGACACGGGUGUGACUCCGCUGAGGUCACUGACCUGACCUGCUUCUGCCCCAUCUGGGCGCACCUGGACAGUGGUGACCCCUGUAAAUAGUUGUGUGAGCAUAGUUGUGUAUAUAUAUAGUGAUGUGUAUAUAGUUGUUUUGAUAUGUAUAUAGUUGUUAGCAUCGUUUCUACUAGUUAAGUGUAUAUCGUUUUUUUCAUAUUUAUAUGGUUGU